rnacentral:rRNA from 1 species
UGCGUAGGUGGCGUGGUAAGUCAGAUGUGAAAGCCCGGGGCUCAACCUCGGAAUUGCAUCCGAUACUGCCAUGCUUGAGUACUGGAGGGGUGACUAGAAUUCUCGGUGUAGCAGUGAAAUGCGUAGAUAUCGAGAGGAAUACCAAAGGCGUAGGCAGGUCACUGGACAGUUACUGACACUGAGGCACGAAGGCCAGGGGAGCGAACG